GUGUACUACUUUGUUCUGUUUGCAGCUCCUGUCUCUUCCACAACAGGAACCUUACAAAGUCGGGAAAAAAAAGCACCCAAUUUGCACCAAAGGAAAACACUUAUCACCUUCGAUCCAUUUUUCUCAUCUUAUGAGAGCAUUAAGUGUUGGUUGGAAGUCAUCAAAUCAAACCCAGAUGCAUAUUACACUGUAGAGCUGCACAUUGUAGAAAAGGAAAUGAGGGAUAGAGACAGAAAGCAAGGAAGCAAGUUAAACAACCCUAAUCUUGUUGGGGUGAAUGGUUUUGCUGCAUAUAUAUAGAUGAAGAUCACUAGGUGGAGGACAUCACAUUGCCAAAAAUGGGAGGUUAUGAGGUUUCAGAGUUGAGACAUUUGGCUCUCAUUCAUCAGAAUUCAGAAAAGAGAUCGAUGGUUAAUUGUUUGCAGUUGAUGAUGAAGAAAGGCUCACAAGAAAUUGAUGCAACAAAACAUUGAAUAUCAAUCCUAGAGAGGUUUCACACCAGAUUGAGAGAGGCUGACAGAAGAGAGUGAGCACAUGCUAGUGGUAUUUGUAUGAGGGCAUACAAUUGCGGGUGCGUGCUCACUUCUCUAUCUGUCAGCUUCCCAUUCUUUUUUACUUUUGGUGUGUUCCUCUCAUCUCUUCGUAACUUCACAACUCUUGAAGCGCCUCCUCAGUGUAACUCUCUUUUAACUUCAUUCCAUUCUCUGUGUUUUAAGUUUUCACACUCACUUUAAAUAAGUCCCCUUUAUGGUACAAACUUGUCUCAUUCUCCGAGCAAGUCAAUGGAUCUAUGUAAUUAUAGCCCUUGAAACGACUCGUAUUGCAUGAUCCUUCUUUUGUGUUAAGCGUGCUUAAUUGUUUGACAAAUACUAAUGGGAGGACUAAAAAUAUAUAUAUAUAGAGAGAGAGAGGUUGCUGGUUCUUCAGGUUGGUUGCGGUAAGCGUGCACAAACUUAUCUAUUUAUUAAUACUAUAUUAGUAUAGUAGUAAUUCAUGUACUAGUAUUUGCUUAUCAUUAUCGAUCUUUUGCUGUUUCAAGUGCCCUAUAACCUGAUCCUUAUCUACUCGUGUUUUUUUCUACUAUUUCUUUUCCAUUUAUUUCUGAUACUGAAAGCGUGACUUUUUAUAGUACUUUCCUUGAUGGUGUUUUGAACACGAAAUCCAAAUGGAGGUCUUCGAGGCACGCCCUUCUUACGCUCUUUUCUCAAUUCUCACUAUUCAUACUUUAACGGAAAAUCUCCUUUUGGGAUGAAGUUUCACUAAACCCUUGUUUUUUUCUCUUUGCCUUUCUCUCCUUCUUCUGCUCCUUGUCGACAGUGUAAGAUCUUUUCUCGCCCUCAUUUUUGGUCCACAAAUUGUGCUCCACGCACUCAUUAGGUUAAGAGAAUCCAGCAUAAAAGGGCAAGUCAUGGGUUUUAAAUUUAUUUAUUUUUAAAGUGUUGAAUUUGAAGGGUCAGAAUGAGAUGUUUCAUAUAUAUCUUGGAUCUGUCUCCUUGAAUGCCAUUAUGUUUGUAGCCUUCAUUUGAGGUAAAGGAAAAUCUUGGGAGAGUUGAUUAAGCAGCUAGAUAUGGCAAGAUUUGGUCUUUCCCUUUGGGCAGCUAUAUAAGCGUUUGUUUGCUACCGUGAUUAAAGGGAAUUCAAGCAACAACCUUUCUUAUACAGUGCUUAAUUUGUAACAUAGAUUCCAUCAGCACAGAACUUUGUCGAUGUUACGAAUAACUGCUCACUGAAGAUCUUGAAGCACUACUAUAAUCACUCAGGUUAAUUGCAAGGGAAACAAAAUGGAACGCCAACUGUAGCAUACAUAGGAUGGUGGUGUAGAGAGGUGAAACAAGUACCUGCCAAUGUAAUAGUGGUAGUGUUUAGGUACCUCUGAUGAUGCUGACGAUACCACUGAGCAGGUUGUGAUGCCUGUAUGUACUGCCAGCGAUUGAUAUGGAGAUCUGGGAAGUAAAAAACAAAACUUAAUGGAAGAUUGAUUACAUGUUAAGCAUCAUACCUAGUGGUGGGGAAAAUAUGAAUACAGAAGAUGCAUACUCAAACGCUUCUAUUUCAACUGAUCACAUGCAUUAUGACAGUCAAUACUUCGUGAAGUUCUCAGCUCUCGUACAUCUAAAAAAUGAGGACUGAGUUGCACAAAUGUCACUAUAUAACAGUUUGCAGUUUUGGCUAGGAUCCUUCAAGUCCUUACACAAUGCCAUUAAGCCCUAUAAUAGCACACUAUCAAGUUUGGAGGCUUGCAAUAUUUUCAAUGUCAAUAUAGUAAGAGGCUGUGCUCAAAAUAAAGAAUAUGAAAUCAUGGUUCAUACUUUGUAGCAACUCAAGUUUGUGAAGUCUCUGAUGAUGACUGAUUGCUUAGUUAUUAUAAGUAAUGAUCUUAACUUGAAUAUAUGAUUGGAUAAGGGAGAUCUCAGCUAGAGAUGUUGAAGUAAGAUUGAUGAACGAACUUGUCAUCCCUCGUCCCUAGAAGACAUGCCACAAGCUGGUGUGGUUGGAGACAUACACAUCGUUUUGAUAACAGACUGACAGGAUGAUCAAGUCAUGAAACUGCUAUCAGAGUUGUAGUUUUGUAUACAUGGAACUGAAAGUGUUUGUGAAAAAAAAAAGACUGGUCGAACUAGUGAUGUACUGAUGUUAUAUUUGACCUUGUGAGACUAUGGAGUAAAAAUAGGGGUCAAAAUCAUUCUACAUUCUUGAUCGUAUUGGGAGUUUACUCAUUUGAAGAUGUGCGUAUCUCCUCCGGAUGAUACCUGAACCAGACCUAGAUAUUAUAAAAUAUUUUUUAUUUUUCAAAAUGAUCGCUUGGAUGGUCUUUUCUUACAACAAAAUAUAUAAAUAUUUCGUUAAGAUUGGUUUAA